GACGAACGCUGGCGGCGUGCUUAACACAUGCAAGUCGAACGGAAAGGCCCUGCUUUUGUGGGGUGCUCGAGUGGCGAACGGGUGAGUAACACGUGAGUAACCUGCCCUUGACUUUGGGAUAACUUCAGGAAACUGGGGCUAAUACCGGAUAGGAGCUCCUGCUGCAUGGUGGGGGUUGGAAAGUUUCGGCGGUUGGGGAUGGACUCGCGGCUUAUCAGCUUGUUGGUGGGGUAGUGGCUUACCAAGGCUUUGACGGGUAGCCGGCCUGAGAGGGUGACCGGCCAACAUGGGAAUUGGAUUCGGCCCAGACUCCUAAGGGAGGCAACAGUGGGGAAUAUUGCACAAUGGGCGGAAGCCUGAUGCAGCAACGCCGCGUGCGGGAUGACGGCCUUCGGGUUGUAAACCGCUUUCGCCUGUGACGAAGCGUGAGUGACGGUAAUGGGUAAAGAAGCACCGGCUAACUACGUG
rnacentral:rRNA from 1 species